GACAGAGGUGCCGAGCGUUAGGCGGAAUCACUGGGCUUAAAGCGUGUGUGGGCGGAUCGUUAAGUACCUUGUGAAAUCCCACGGCUUAACCGUGGAACUGCUGGGUAUACUGGCGAUCUUGAGCCACCUAGGGGCAACCGGAACAAAUGGUGGAGCGGUGAAAUGCGUAGAUAUCAUUUGGAACGCCAAUGGUGAAAACAGGUUGCUGGGGGUGUGCUGACGCUGAGACACGAAAGCCAGGGGAGCGAACGGG
rnacentral:rRNA from 1 species